AAGUCGUAACAAGGUCUCGUUGGUGACCAGCGGAGGGAUCAUUACCGAGUUUACAACUCCCAAACCCCUGUGAACAUACCUUAAUGUUGCCUCGGCGGAUCAGCCCGCGCCCCGUAAAACGGGACGGCCCGCCAGAGGACCCAAACUCUAAUGUUUCUUAUUGUAACUUCUGAGUAAAACAAACAAAUAAAUCAAAACUUUCAACAACGGAUCUCUUGGUUCUG
rnacentral:misc_RNA from 1 species